GGGUGUGAUCAUACCAGCGUUAGUGCAUCGGAUCCCAUCAGAACUUCGCAGUUAAGCACGCUUGGGAUAGAGUAGUACUAGUUUGGGUGACCUCACUGGAAGUCCCAGUGUUGCAUCCU
rnacentral:rRNA from 1 species